rnacentral:rRNA from 1 species
AUGCGGCGGUGGUGCUGCUCCUCCGCCGGCGGCCUCGCCCGCCGUUUCCUCUCCUCCCCCACCGUCGUCCAUGCCCGCCCGCCCGUGUCCUCCCUCCCCUUCCGCCGCGACCACUCCCACACCCACGCGCCUCUGCCCAUCAUGGGCUCGCUGUUCCACUCCGCGGCAGCCGCUGCGAUCGUCCGGCCUCCGGUGAUGGCGAUGCAGGUGCGCCACUACGCCAUCAAGGGCAGGUCCCGCGCGCCGACCACGCCCACCAUCUCCAAAGUCAAGAAAUACAAGAUGAAGGCCCCCUCCUCCAUGAAGUUCCGCUUCAGAACGAUGAAGGACGGCCAGAUCCGCAGGUGGAGGGCCGGCAAGCGCCACAACGCACACCAAAAGUCCAAGGAAGCAAAGAGAAGACUCCGGAAGCCUGCUUUAGUGCAUUUAGCUUAUGCCAAAGUUAUAAAGAAGCUCAACUUCUGCGGCUAG